rnacentral:lncRNA from 1 species
GCUAACUCCCCCGGCUGGGUGAGAGGGUGAACAGAGCGAGGCCAGCUGGGGAUGCAGGCAGCGGAGGUCAGCAGGGAAGAUGCAGGCCCAACCAGCUCUGAGACCCAGGCCCGAUCUCUGCCUAAUGGAGCUGCAGGCGACACGGAACGGGUCCCCCAUUCGCUGGCAGAUGUCCCAAUCCAUCUCCAUUAUGCCUGGCGCUAAGGAGCACUGCAAAUGAAGCGUGAUGAUGCCACCGCCAGCAUCACUCCUGCUGGCUCUGACCCGCCUGCCACCUCCACCUAACAUGCACACCAGGCUGCGACUGAUGUCCACAGGCCCAGCUGCCACCUCGUACAGAUGCCGGGAUGGAGCCUUUGCUCCUGGCCCCACUGGCUGUGUGACUGUGAGCCCCUUACUGAAACUCUCUGUGCCUCAGUCUCAUCAUCCAAAUUAUGUCUGACUCCACCCUCUCCCUCGUCUCUCAUUUCCCAUCCACCUCAACACCUCUCCAGGCCACACACCUGUGUGUCCGCUGCCGCCCCUCAGUCCAAGCUUGUCUGGAUGGCAGCACCCACCUCCCAGGGUCUCUAGUGUGCCCCAAGGUCCUCCCCUUCCUCUGCUCGGCUCGGGUGCUCUUUUAUGGACUCACCGAGGCCUCUUUCUUAACACCCUUUCAGCCGCUUCCACAGUUCCCAGGCUAAAGCCAGACGUCCUCCUGAAGGUCAAGGCCCCUCAAGGGCCUGGCCCGGCCGCCUGUUCCAGGCUCCCUCCCGCCCUCCUCCCGGGCAGCCUCACCUCUCCCAGGAUGACUCCUUGGUGAGUGUCCAGCCCCCGUGGACCGUCAGGGGGCCGCAGUGGCCAGCACCGUGAGUCCUCCCCCGCAGGUCCCGCCCCGGCACACAGUAGGCAGAGCGAUCCCGCAGCUUAAAGGAAUGCCUCCAUCGAGUGCAGACAGCAAUUUCAUCCCACGGGCCGUGGUGACUGUCAACAGUGCCUCAUACGCUGUAAAUGAAGAACUCUUCACUCCUCGCCUGGGAAUGAGCACUGGGUUGGCUGCCACAAACUCAACACCCACCCCCGACCUUACAGGGUGUCAAGAUAAAGAUCGUCAGGCCGGGCGCAAUGGCUCACGCCUGUAAUCCCAACACUUU